UUGGCCUCAGUGUCCAAGAAGAAGGAA
rnacentral:misc_RNA from 1 species